AUGCGAGGCAGUGAGAACACUUCAUCGCUGGCUGGAAAGCAUCCCAAGGUGGCUGAGAAGCAGACACACAGACAGCAUAGGAAUGUAAGGUCUGACCACACCAUGAACGGCAUGGUAAUCUCUGUGACCUGCACGAACACCCCAGUUGAGUUCCUGGAAGAACUCCUCAGCAAUCCCAGCAAGACCAAGUUUCAGGUAGGUACCAUCUACCAUGAAUCAUCUGCAAUGAUGGAAAUACUUCAUAUCUGUAUGUCCAGUAUAGCAGUCAGGAGCCAUGUGAUAUCCAUUGAGCUUCUGCAUGUAUAAUUAGUGUGACUGAGGAGCUGAAUUUUAAAUUGUAAUUAAUUUAUGUUUCAAAAUCUCGUUCCUUUUUAAACUUUUAAGUAUUUAUUUAUUUAGAAACAAGAUCUCUCUCUCUGUUGCCCAGGCUGGCCUUGAACUCUUGGGCUCAGGUAAUCCUCCUGCCUCAGCCUUCCAAGUAGUUGUGACGAAAGGCACAUGCCACUGCACCCAGGUAAUUGUAAUUAAUUUAAAUUUCUGUCUUUUCUAUGUUUAAUUGCAAAAUAUAUAGAACAUAAAAUUUGCCAUUUUAACUAUUUUUUAAGCUUAAAAUUCAGUGGCAUUAAUUACACCCAGGGUGUUGUGCAACUACCACCACUAUUUUCAAAACUUUUCAUCACCCCAAACAGAAACUUUGUACUCUGCUUUUUUAAAAUUAAAAUUAAAUAGCAACAUGGCUAGUAGUCACCAUAUUGAGCAACACAAGUUUUGUAGCCAAUAACCUUCAAAUCAGUAUUGCCAGCCUAGACCCCUCUGCCCCCGCCCCGAGCCCCAGUCCUGGAUACCCAACUCCCUAGUGGGUACCCUUCUACCUGAGUACCCCCCCACAAUGUAAACGAAGCCACCUGGAAGUUCAAAGUGCCCACCAAAGCUCCACAAAACUGCUGUAGUCAGACUGCCUCUCUAGAUUCCUCUUCUCUGGGCAAGGCAUCUCUAAAAUAAAGGCAGAAGCCCCAUUCAGGAGUUUAUAGAUAAAAUUUCCAUCUCCCUGGGACAGAGCACCUGGGGAAAGGGGCAGCUGGGGCACAGCUUUAGCAGACGUAAAUGUUCCUGCCUGCCAGAUCUGGAGAGAGCUGUGGAUCUUACAGCACACCACUUGAGCUCUGCUAAGGGACAGAUUGCCUCCUCAAGUGGGUCCCUGACACCCCCAUCACUCUGGAUAGGGAGACACCACCCAGCAGCAGUCAACAGAUACCUCAUACAAGAAGAGGUCUGGCUGGCAUCUGGCAGGUACCCCUCUGGGACGAAGCUUCCAGAGGAAGGAACAGGCAGGAAUCUUUGCUGUUUGCUGGUGAUGCUCAUGCAAACAGGGUCUGGAGUGGCCCUCCAGAAGACCUGCAGAAGAGGGCCUGCCUGUUAGAAGGAAAACUAACUAACAGAAGGAAUGACAUCAACAUCUACAAAAAUAAGUCUACAGAAAUCCCAUACAAAGGUCACCAACAUCAAAGACCAAAGGUAGAACAAUCCACAAGAUGAGGAAAAACAAGUGCAAAACAGCUGAAAAUUUCUAAAAGCAGAACACCUCUUCUCCUCCAAGGGAUCACAACUCCUCACCAGCAAGGGAACAAAACUGCUGGUGAAUUUGAUGAAUUGAUAGAAGUAGGCUUCAGAAGCUGGGUAAUAACAAAGUCCUCUGAGCUAAAGGAGCAUGUUCUAACCCAAAGGGAGAAAGCUAAGAACCUUGAACAAAGGUUAGAGGAAUUGAUAGCUAGAGUAAGCAGUUUGGAGAAGAACAUAAAUGACCUGAUGGAGCUGAAAACACAGCACGAGAACUUCGUGAAGCAUACACAAGUAUCAAUAGCUGAAUUGAUCAACUGGAAGAAAGGAUAUCAGAGACAGAAGAUCAACUUAAUGAAAUAAAGCAUGAACACAAGAUUAGAGAAAAAUAAUAAAAGGGAAUGAACAGAGCCUCUAAGAAAUGUGGAUCUGUAUGAAAAGACCCAACCUACUUUUGAUUGGUGUACCUGAAAGUGCUGCAAAGAAUGUAACCAAGUUGGAAAACACUCAAAACAGCAUGGUACUGAUACCAAAACAGAUAUAAAGACAAAUGGAACUAAACAGAGGCCUCAGAAAUAACACCACACAUCUACAACCAUCUGAUCUUUGGCAAACCUGACAAAACAAGCAAUGGGAAAAUGAUUCCCUAUUUAAUAAACGAUGUUACGAAAAGUGGCUAGUCAUAUCCAGAAAAUUGUAGCCAGACCACUUCCUUAUACCUUACACAAAAAUUAACUCAAGGUAGAUAAAAGACUUAAAUGAGACCUAAAACCAUAAAAACCCUAAAAGAAAACCUAGGCAAUACCAUUCAGCACACAGGCAUAAGCAAAGACUUCAUGACUAAAACACCAAAAGUAAUGGUAACAAUAGCCAAAAUUGACUAAUGGGAUCUAAUUAAACUAAAGAGCUUCUGCACAGCAAAAGAAACUAUCAUCAGAGUGAACAGGCAACCUACAGAAUGGGAGAAAAUGUUUGCAAUCUCUCCAUUUGACAGAAUCUACAAGGAAUUUAAACAAAUCUACAAGAAAAAACAAACAACCCCAUCAAAAAGUGGGAAAAGGAUAUGAACAGACACUUCUCAAAAGAAGACAUUCAUGUGCCCAACAAACCUAUCUCAAAAAGCUCAUCAUCAGUGGUCAUUAGAGAAAUGCAAAUCAAAACCACAAUGAGAUACCAUCUCACACCAGUUAGAGUGGUGAUCAUUAAAAAGUCAGGAAACAACAGAUGCUGGAGAGGAUAUAGAGAAAUAGGAAUGCUUUCACACUGUUGGUGAGAGUGCGAAUUAGUUUAACCAUUGUAGAAGACAGUGUUGCAAUUCCUCAAGGUUGUAGAAUGAGAAAUAACGUUUGACCCAGCAAUCCCAUUACUGGAUAUAUACUCAAAAGAUUAUAAAUCAUUCUACUAUAAAGACACAUGCACAUGUAUGGUUAUUGCAGUACUAUUCACAAUAGCAAAGACUUGGAACCAACCCAAAUGCCCAUCAAUGAUAGACGGGAUUAAGAAAAUGUGGCAUAUACAUGCCACGGAAUAUUAUGCAGCCAUAAAAAAGGAUGAGUUCAUGUCCUUUGCAGGGACAUGGAUGAAGCUGGAAACUAUCAUUCUCAGCAAACAAACACAGGAACAGAAAACCAAACAUCACAUGCUCUCACUUAUAAAUGGGAGUGGAACAAGAAUACAUGGACACAGGGAAGGGAACAUCACACACCAGGGCCUGUAAGUAGGUGGGGUACUAGGGGAGAGAUAACAUUAGAAGAAAUACCUAAUUUGGAUGACGAGUUGAUGGGUGCAGCAAAUGACCAUGGUGCAUGUAUAUGUGUGUAACAAACCUGCACAUUCUGCACAUGUAUCUCAGAAAUUAAAGUAUAAUUUAAAAAAAAUGAAAAAUAAAUAAAUAAUAGAAUGUUACUAGCUCCUGCAAAUGAGCUGCCUGCUCACUUCUAGUCGUUAACUUCUCUCUCUCUUCCUUCUAGUCAUUAACCCCUCAGAGUAACUAUUAUUCUGGUUAUCAAUAGCAUAGAUUAGUUCUGCCUGUGUUUUUACUUUAUAUAAACUGUCUCAUUAAGCAUAAAAAAUUAGAUUGUGGGAAAAUGUAUGUCAGAUAGAUUAUUGAUGAUUGAUUGAUAGUGAUAAAGUCAUACAUUAAUGACAUAAUUAUCUAAAAUGGCACAAAAAAUUUGAAUAGUAACAAAACAAUUCAUCCAUAUGAAAUAUUAUUCACUCAAAAAAUAGUUUUCCAUAGUACAGUCGUCCCCUCCUUACCAGGAGUUUUACUUUCUGCAGUAUUGGUUACCCACUGUCAACCUCAGUCCAAAAGUAUACAUGGAAUAGUCCAGAAAUUUAAAAAAAAGGAAAAAUUGAAUUUGCACAUCUAUGAUAGGUGAAAUGAGGUUAUUUUUAUUUUAAGUAUAUUUUUCAUAUUUUCUAGUCUUAUAAAGAAUUAGCAUCUCUUGGUUCUUACCAAGAAGAAUCUUUGUUAAACUAUGAACGCUAGAAAAGUAUUGAUAAGUAAAUAAAAAUCACCUGAAUUGCACUGUUUUAUAAUACCACUAUUAAU
rnacentral:lncRNA from 1 species